ensembl:lncRNA novel transcript
AUCCCAGGAUAUCUGUAUACUUUGAAGAGGCCGGAGGGGGAGAGGGAGGAAAUGACACUCAGUACUUUUAAAUUAGGAUCAUGUAUGAGAGAAUGGAGAAAUUGGACUUUAACAUGUUAAAUUUAGAUAAAAGUAACAUUGCUAUAUCCUCAAUACAGUUGAAUAAAAUGUAUACUGAAUUUAACAAAAAAGGGAGAUUUCUCAAGAAAUAUCUUGGAUGAAAAUCUGAAAUAUUUGUAUGACUGUGUGAUUAUGCCUGGGCCUGAAAGUGUAACUGAGGUUGUUCUUUGCAGGACAGAGUUGGUGCAAAUGGAAAAGCCCCAGCCAGUGAACCCAGAACUCACUUCCUGGCACAUCACUGGAGUGUUAGAUAAGCUCAACAAAUUCAGAGCGGAUGAUCCUCUGAGUAAGGAAAAGGCGAAUCACUAUAUGAGCCUUUCUGAGGAUGUGAGAAAUGUGAUAUUUGGAGAUGACCAUGAUGGUGCACCCGGGGAGUCCCAGAGAGCAGAGAACUUUGCAGCAUGGGGAGCUCAGGCCUUCUCCUCCGGCAGGCAUAACUGGGAAGUGGAUGUAACCCACUCCCCCAACUGGAUUCUGGGAGUCUGUAAAGAUUCCAGGACAGCAAACACAAAUCACGUUCCGGCUUUUGAGGAAGGAUUUUUUCUAUUUUCUUCAAAGAGAAACAACCUUUAUAGCCUCUCCAACAUUUUUUUUCCCUUAACUCACUAUGUGCAGAGACCUUUGGGUCGGGUUGGGGUCUUUCUGGAUUAUGACAACACAGUUGCGAGCUUUUAUGAUGCUUCAAAAGGUUCCCUCAUAUACAGCUUUUUCCCUACCUCUUUUUCUUCCCUUUUGACACCUUUCUUUUGUUUUGGUUCCCCAUGAAAGUCAGGUUUCAUUAUGAUUUCUUAGUGAGCUUUCUUGCCUGAAAAAUCUUCUAAUCUCGAGACCUUCUCAUGUGAGACAAUAGGACAAUGUAUGAGCAUCUUUGAGUUCACUGUAACUUGAGGAAACAAAAUUAUUAUCUGGGUAUGAAAUGGGAUAACCACAUUGACAUUAUACAUUUGUUUCUUAAAUUUUACUUUAAUAAAGAGUUGUGAAAAAC